rnacentral:rRNA from 1 species
UACGUAGGUGGCGAGCGUUAUCCGGAAUUAUUGGGCGUAAAGAGGGAGCAGGCGGCAGGAAGGGUCUGUGGUGAAAGAGUGAAGCUUAACUUCAUAAAGCCAUGGAAACCGGCCAGCUAGAGUGAUGAAGAGGAUCGCGGAAUUCCAUGUGUAGCGGUGAAAUGCGUAGAUAUAUGGAGGAACACCAGUGGCGAAGGCGGCGAUCUGGUCAAUGACUGACGCUCAAUCCCGAAAGCGUGGGGAGCAAAUAGG